CCCAAAUCACCAUCAAAUCCUAAAUUCUCUGCACACACCAACCCAACGUGGAUAGAGCAGUCCGAGGAGGGAGAUUUCACACGAUUGUAGACGCAAACACUACAACCCAACACUUUACUUUCCUCACCAUCAUCAAGGGUACGUCCGCAAGUAAAGUCGGAACGAAAGAUUCAAGCUAAGGGAGCUAAACAUUCAAGGUUGAGCAGCGAAGUAGUGGAGGAAGUGCUAUUGAGACAAGAUACUUAAUUCAGUCAGAUUUUGAC